CUUUGGCCUUCAGACUCCCUGUUUCACUGGAUGAGGACAGCUCUGUGCCAGAGAAUGAGCUGGGAUCUGCCCUGACAAGUGGAGCCUCGUUUGAAAGGGUAACAGGCUCUGUGUCUGAACCAAAGUUUCCCUUGCAACCUGGUGUGGCUGCAUGAUGGAGUUUGGGCCGUGACAUAUGGUGGGUUUGACGUGUGCCACUCUUAGGGCCAACUUCUAAAGCCUCCAAGACACAGCCCCAUGCCCUGUGCCCUUCUGCAGCUCAGAGCAGAUGAGCCCAGUGACCUUGAGGCCCUUGAAGAUGGUGGAACCAGGAGACAUGAGGGGCCUUGGCCUGGAAACACAACUCGAAGGGAAAUCACUCAUCUGGAAAACGUGUUUGGACCCAUACCACACCGUGGCAAAUACCUGGUAAAACUGUCAUCUGAAAUUGCUUGGAAAUAGGACACUACCACCUAAACCCACAGCUCGUAGGCCAGGGCACCUCAACUGUAGUCCCCAGACCAGCAGCAUCGGUGUUACCUGGAAAAUUAAAAAUGCAAAGUUUUGGGCCCACUUCAGACCCCAGGUCAGAAAUUGUGGGUUGCAGAAAUCUGUGUUUUAAUAACCCUUCAGAUGACUGUGGUGCCCGACAAAGUUGAAAUGCCUGCUCCCAUGUGUGCUGGGUUUAGUUUGUGCUUUAGCAAAGCGGGAUAAGAAAGAAAGGAGGCCAGGAUGGAAUUCGCUGGUUUCCAACUAGAAGUGACAGAAAAUAGAAAGAGUCCAGUAAUGUGAGGUCUUGAAGUGUUGGGAGAAUUCAUUCAUCACUUCUAGAUUCCAGACAAUCAGAAAUAAAAUUUUAAAAGUCUUUCAAUGACAAACUAAGACUUCUCAGUUGGGAAAAAAAAAAAAAAAGGACUCAGUCUUGUUGCAGACAUGAGAUGAAGAGUGUGGUCUUUUCACAAAUGCCUGUGCAAGGGAGUCAAGGACAGAAGCCAUCCGGUGGGCUCCUUGGCACGGGGGCGGCUGAAGCAAACCAACCAGGAGCCCACGCAGCUGUCAAGGGCUUGUGUCAGCAAGUAAAGCCUAGACUGCUUGUGACUGUGAAGUGUAAAAGUGCCCCUGGGUCCUCAGGCCUGUGGACAGGACAAAGCCAAAGCCGCCCAGCGCCGUGUGAUGCGGCCACAGAGAACACGAGCCUCGGGAGAGAGGAGCCUGGGGCUGGAAAACAAGGGUGAAGGACGCUCCCCUCUGGCUGCAGGAGAGGGGCUGCUGAGGGCAAGAUCCAUCAUUUCUUGGGACCAAUGAUGCUGCUUCCUACUCUCUGCUUUCUGCCUGGGAGUUUUGUCUGGGACGCCUGUGUCUGCCCCACUCACUGUGUGGUGCAAGCUCCAUUUCCAGUGAGGACAACCGUGGCUGCCGAGAGCACCUUACAAGCCAGGCAUCCUCCUCUGAGCUCAAGGCAGCCUUGAGAAGUGGGACGAAGACUUCCUUCACGGGAAGAGGAGCGGCUCAGAGAAAGGAAGAGGCUAGUCCAGAACCACCACGUGGACAUCUUCUGUGAAGGCCCUGGGGUGAAGGGCACAGGUGGGAUUCAGAAUAGAAAUGACUCGAGGGACGCAAGGAGUUGGGAUCAGAAGAAGCAGCAGAAACUCCUGCUCUGCAGACACAGCAGACAUUACUGGGAAAGACACCAGAGACCCAGGAGUUCACCCAAGUCCUCUGCACACUGUCUUCCCAGCCCUCUCUCCUGGAUCUGAGAUGAUUUCACUUAAAAACACAAGCCUUUGCUUAAAGGGAGAUAUAAGUGACAGCCACCUGGUGGUCAGGAGAACAAACUGCCGCCGUGUCUCCACACCCUGUGUGUCCUGAACACCGCUGGGAAGCCGUCAGCAGACGCUCCGCAGGCCACCGGGGCGAUCGGGGCACUAAAGGCCAAGCAGGCUUCACACACUGCCAAAGUCCAGGUGACCAGAGAGUAUGACCGGACACAAAGGUGGGACAAGCCGUUUCUCAUUGUUACUGAGAAGCAACUGUGAGUGAACAAAGCUUACAGAGAGAUCCGAGAUCAGAUGGGUACCCAUGGCAGGAGGGGAGGCGUUUAUGAGAGUCCCCGGUGGGCACAUAUUAAAAAAAGCUAAGUAGAAAAAUCACUGAGAACUCAUAACUGGUCAAUGAGUUCAGGUAGACAAUGAGGGAGGGUUUGGAGGAUGGCGAAAGAUCAAAGGGGCCCUGAUGGAGUGGGAGGUUCAGAGGGAGGAGACGCUGCCAUGUUCAGCCUCCAGGAGCCACCACAGGUUGUGCAUAGGUGCUGUGUUGACUUCUGCUGAGGAAAUUCACAAAAUAUACUUCCCCCAGAGAAGGAGGAAUGUGGAGCAGGCGUUAAAAAGCAGCCUGCACUCACCUUCGGAGGCCCUCGGUGGGAUGUCCUCUUCCCAGCCCUUUCCUUUCUCUCCCUCGGGUGCCUUUUCCUGCCUGGUUUCCUUGGUUAUUGUGUUUGGAAUGCAACUUUGACUAGUUGUUGAAUGGUGAAGUGGCAAAUGGUAGGUGGAUUCUGGCUUGCCGCACCCAUCCCACAGGUGGAGGUCUUGUGAGAACGACUCCAGCAGCCUCCAGACAAAUGACUGUUGACUAAAGUGAAAUGUUAUGCACAUGAAAUGCAAGAGAUGACUAGACACGCACUGGAUGGAAUUCCACAGCAGGUGGGAGACUUGGGAAAGAUCCUUGUUUUCGUAAGAAAACACAAUCUCAGCUGGGUGCGGUGGCUCACGCCUGUAGUCCUGGCACUUUGGGAGGUCGAGGUGGGCAGAUCACCUGAGGCCAGGAGUUUGAGACCAGCCUGGAUAACAUGGUGAAACCCCGUCUCUACUAAAAAAUAUGAAAAUUAGCUGGGCCUGGCGGCACCUGUGGUCCCACUUACUCGGGAGUCUGAGGCAGGAGAAUCGCUUGAGCCCGGGAGGCAGAGGUUGCAGUGAGCCAAGGUUGUGCCUGUGCACUCCAGCCUGGGCAACAGCGUGAGAUCCUGUCUCAAAAAAAAAAAAAAAAAAAAAAAAAGAAGAGAAAGAAAAAGAAAACACGGUCUUCAAAUCCCAUAACCUGAGCACAAAAGACUCUUGGCUCGCUGAUUCGUCUCCCACCUCCUCCUCCCCGCACAGGGACAGAUACUGACCGGGUGUGAGAGUAAGGCCCCGUGAAGACGAACCUUGGGGAGCUCACUGGGGUCCCUACUUGGAAUUUUAAAGCAAAACCAUGUUGCUGGAAGUGAAAUCCUCUUCAGAUUUACGAAUUAUGGGGCUCCAUUGGAGGAAACAAUCCCUAUGGGCCAAUGACCUCGUUUCAUCCCAAAUUAUCCUCUGGUUUUACAACUGGUUAGUUUCUUGUAUUUCCAGGAUUUAUAAAUUGCAAGUUUGCUUGUGAAGUGGUAGAAUCCAUUUUUGAAUUUGUUUCUUAACUAUUGAUAGGGCUAGUAAAAUUCAAAUGAUUGCAUAAACCUUAGAAACUAAGGUCAGUUCAGUGAACAUUCUUGGUGCUAUUUCAACAAUCCUUGAAGGUUUAACACGUCUGUGAUAUUACUGUGUGAUUUCGUGUUAUCACUGUCUUAUGUGCAUUCUAAGCAUGAAACUGUGUCCAGUAGCUGUUUUUGAGGACCCUACUAAUUAUACAGCUGAUGGUAGCAUCAGCCGUUUGUUCAAUGUUAAAUUAUUUUGUAUUUUCUAAACAACUGACAUUUUCUCCUAGCAAACUACUGAUAGGAAAUUGUAUGUGCCAUGUUUUCUUCCAACAGUCUUGAAUAUGCCACUGCAUUCCUGCCUGGGUAAAAGAGUGAGACCCUCUCUCAAAAAAAAACUAAAAUGAAAAGGCCCAGGAUGAAAUAGAGUGUUUCAAAACCCACAGCUACUCCCCAUCCUUUUUCUAUCCCAAGAGCUGUGCCUCAGGGAUGUAAUAAAAUAAACAUACAAACUUUCUAAAGGCUGAUUUUACAAUUUUUAAUUAAAUAAAUACUACUCA
rnacentral:lncRNA from 10 species